UACAGUAUACUUUGUAGGAAAAAUAGAAAUCAUAACAUAAAACUCGUUAAGAGAUAGAAAUUAGACUAUUAUCCUCAUAAAUAAAAAUAAUAAUAAUAAUCCUUUAUCUUCAAAAAUAAGUUAAAAAAACUCAUAUACUCGUAAUAAGAGUUAAAACUAGACCUUUUAUCUCCAAAAAAAUUACUGUAAAAAAACUAAAGACAAUCAAUUAUCCAUUCUUCAAAACCGCGAAAAUGGUGAAUUAUUUUUGGCUUUUCCCACUAAGAAUCAAUUACUCAUAAUUAACAAGGUCAUAAAAAAAAAUUACUCAUAAUUAAAAACGCCAGAAAAAAAAAAGCAACGCCAAAAUAAAAUGCUCUUCAAAUCACGAGUUCACAGGAAAGAAAGAAAAAAUCAGCAAACAUAAAAAGUUAAAAACAAAACAACGAAGCAAGAAACACUUCUCUCUCUUCAAUUAUUUCAAAACAGCGUUGUAUGGGUAAUCCGCCACUGCCAGCCACCACUGCUGUCGGUCUGCCAGCCUGCCGCCGCACCUUCCGGCCACCGCACGUUCGCACUAACCACCGCACUCCAAUCUCCAGCCACCGCACAACCGCACUCUAAAUAAAGCGUUAGGGUUUCUUCGUCCGAGUUGGAGUUCGCGUCUGCUAGUUAGAGACUUGGAGUUCCAGUUCGCGUCUGCAGGCCUUCUAGUUGGAGUUCCAGUUCGCGUCUUCAUUCAAUCGUUCGACAAUUGGAGUUCGCUGUUGGCUUUUCGCGUCUUCUACUCUUCUGGUCUUCGACUCUUCGCUAGACCCAAUUCACCCAAAUCACCAAAUGGUAGCUUGAUACUAAUCAAUGAGCUAGAGUGCUAUUAAUUUCCUCUAAUACGAGCAGUUUGGAACGGAGCCUAACCUUUAAUUUGACCAAUUGGUAAGUGAUGCUUAAUAUAAUAUUCUCAUAGCCUCUUUCAAAGUUGAUUAAUUUGCUUAGUAUUAUAUUGUGAUUCUUUUGUGAGGUAAUCUGCUUAAGAUUUGCUUCAAGGAUGAUGGACACCCUGGUUUGUUUUUCUAAUUGUCAUCACUCAGCUUCUCUAGCUUGGUUGUAAGUUCUAAUUAUCUCUAAGUUGUAAGUUCUCAGUUCGGACCUAAUGAUUUAUUGGCUAUAAUUUACUUCAUAUUGUUUUAGCACCUCUAUUCAGUUUUAGUGUAUAUACUUACCUUCGCCAUUUUCGUGAAACCUGAUAUAUGCUUUUUAAAAUUCAAGUAGGUUUGAAUUGCCUAUUAUUUAGACUUAUGAAAUUAAAGGUCUUGAGCAUGUGAGGGUGGAAAGGAUUCAAGCCUUAGGAUACUGUUUAGUUGCAUUAGAGCAAAUAGGGGUUUAAGCAGGUUUAUCAUGAGAACAUUUAAUGGAUUGGUAAUAAAUCAGAGUUUUAAUGAUGUUUAAUUGAUAGCUAUUUUUAUGUUUAAGACAUCAAGGUAAUUAACAAGUUAGAUUUUCAAUUUAUAAACCAAAAGCUAUAAACACAUUAUCCAGCUGAUUCAACCAACAACCUCAAAUUAUUAGUUGCAUCCAUUUGAGAAUGUGUCUACAUUCCUGUUUUAAUUUAGCUCACACUUAAUAAAAUUUGAUUUCCUUUUUAACUUAACAUUUCCCUUUUAU